rnacentral:rRNA from 1 species
UGUAUAAUGGGUCAGCGACUUAUAUUCUGUAGCAAGGUUAACCGAAUAGGGGAGCCGAAGGGAAACCGAGUCUUAACUGGGCGUUAAGUUGCAGGGUAUAGACCCGAAACCCGGUGAUCUAGCCAUGGGCAGGUUGAAGGUUGGGUAACACUAACUGGAGGACCGAACCGACUAAUGUUGAAAAAUUAGCGGAUGACUUGUGGCUGGGGGUGAAAGGCCAAUCAAACCGGGAGAUAGCUGGUUCUCCCCGAAAGCUAUUUAGGUAGCGCCUCGUGAAUUCAUCUCCGGGGGUAGAGCACUGUUUCGGCAAGGGGGUCAUCCCGACUUACCAACCCGAUGCAAACUGCGAAUACCGGAGAAUGUUAUCACGGGAGACACACGGCGGGUGCUAACGUCCGUCGUGAAGAGGGAAACAACCCAGACCGCCAGCUAAGGUCCCAAAGUCAUGGUUAAGUGGGAAACGAUGUGGGAAGGCCCAGACAGCCAGGAUGUUGGCUUAGAAGCAGCCAUCAUUUAAAGAAAGCGUAAUAGCUCACUGGUCGAGUCGGCCUGCGCGGAAGAUGUAACGGGGCUAAACCAUGCACCGAAGCUGCGGCAGCGACGCUUAUGCGUUGUUGGGUAGGGGAGCGUUCUGUAAGCCUGCGAAGGUGUGCUGUGAGGCAUGCUGGAGGUAUCAGAAGUGCGAAUGCUGACAUAAGUAACGAUAAAGCGGGUGAAAAGCCCGCUCGCCGGAAGACCAAGGGUUCCUGUCCAACGUUAAUCGGGGCAGGGUGAGUCGACCCCUAAGGCGAGGC